rnacentral:rRNA from 1 species
AUUGAACGCUGGCGGCAGGCCUAACACAUGCAAGUCGAGCGAAUGAGAAGAGCUUGCUCUUCGAUUCAGCGGCGGACGGGUGAGUAAUGCCUAGGAAUCUGCCUGGUAGUGGGGGACAACGUUUCGAAAGGAACGCUAAUACCGCAUACGUCCUACGGGAGAAAGCAGGGGACCUUCGGGCCUUGCGCUAUCAGAUGAGCCUAGGUCGGAUUAGCUAGUUGGUGAGGUAAUGGCUCACCAAGGCGACGAUCCGUAACUGGUCUGAGAGGAUGAUCAGUCACACUGGAACUGAGACACGGUCCAGACUCCUACGGGAGGCAGCAGUGGGGAAUAUUGGACAAUGGGCGAAAGCCUGAUCCAGCCAUGCCGCGUGUGUGAAGAAGGUCUUCGGAUUGUAAAGCACUUUAAGUUGGGAGGAAGGGCAGUAAGUUAAUACCUUGCUGUUUUGACGUUACCGACAGAGUAAGCACCGGCUAACUCUGUGCCAGCCGCCGCCGUAAGAC